CCUGAGUACGACGGAGCACGUGAAAUUCCGUCGGAAUCUGGGAGGACCAUCUCCUAAGGCUAAAUACUCUCUAGUGACCGAUAGUGAACCAGUACCGUGAGGGAAAGGUGAAAAGUACCCCGGAAGGGGAGUGAAAGAGAACUUGAAACCGUGUGCUUACAAGUAGUCAGAGCCCGUUAAUGGGUGAUGGCGUGCCUUUUGUAGAAUGAACCGGCGAGUUACGAUCUGAUGCAAGGUUAAGCAGAAAAUGUGGAGCCGUAGCGAAAGCGAGUCUGAAUAGGGCGAAUGAGUAUUUGGUCGUAGACCCGAAACCAGGUGAUCUACCCUUGGUCAGGUUGAAGUUCAGGUAACACUGAAUGGAGGACCGAACCGACUUACGUUGAAAAGUGAGCGGAUGAACUGAGGGUAGCGGAGAAAUUCCAAUCGAACUUGGAGAUAGCUGGUUCUCUCCGAAAUAGCUUUAGGGCUAGCCUCAAGUGAUGAUUAUUGGAGGUAGAGCACUGUUUGGACGAGGGGCCCCUCUCGGGUUACCGAAUUCAGACAAACUCCGAAUGCCAAAUAAUUUAACUUGGGAGUCAGAAUGUGGGUGAUAAGGUCCAUAUUCGAAAGGGAAACAGCCCAGACCACCAGCUAAGGUCCCAAAAUAUAUGUUAAGUGGAAAAGGAUGUGGCGUUGCCCAGACAACUAGGAUGUUGGCUUAGAAGCAGCCAUCAUUUAAAGAGUGCGUAAUAGCUCACUAGUCGAGUGACACUGCGCCGAAAAUGUACCGGGGCUAAACAUAUUACCGAAGCUGUGGAUUGUCCUUUGGACAAUGGUAGGAGAGCGUUCUAAGGGCGUUGAAGCAUGAUCGCAAGGACAUGUGGAGCGCUUAGAAGUGAGAAUGCCGGUGUGAGUAGCGAAAGACGGGUGAGAAUCCCGUCCACCGAUUGACUAAGGUUUCCAGAGGAAGGCUCGUCCGCUCUGGGUUAGUCGGGUCCUAAGCUGAGGCCGACAGGCGUAGGCGAUGGAUAACAGGUUGAUAUUCCUGUACCACCAUUAUUCGUUUUAAGCGAUGGGGGGAC
rnacentral:rRNA from 1 species